CAAACAUCGAGGAAAGCAACACGCGUUUUUUAUUUGCGGUAAUGUAUUCGUGGUUUUCCAAUAAAUUUGUUGGGAAAAAUUUAUUUAAUUAUUUAGCAAUUGUUUUUUUUUAUCAACCCCCAUUUUGAAACUCACAAGAAGGCACGCGCUUUUCAUUUCAUCUUCUUCGUUUGGCGUCUGCAUUCACCAGCUACAAAUCUAAUUGUGUGAAAACCAAGAUAAUAUUCUACUUUGUCGGGCGUUUACCAGCAAUAACUGCUACAUAUACAUAAAUUUACAUCAGCAAGACCAGGCAUAAUUAAAAAUUCCAAGAAAAUUACAAAAAUCGGCUUAACAUUUGGAAAACUACAAAUUUAAACAAUCAUCGGCUAGACAUCUGAAAACCAGCUUCUACAAUCAUCAGCCAAACCAAACUAAUUUAUAUUUUAAGCAGAUAAAAACUGUAAGUAACACCUUUUUGAUAGAUACGAAAAUAAACUUUAUAUUACUAGAUCUAGCCAAAAUUUAAUUUUAUGAAAAUAAUCCUUUUAUUCGAAAUUCUUUCUGGUAUCGUUUUAAAGUAAUAUUUAAAGUGAUAGAUCUGUAUAGCUUAUUUUAAUUUUAAAAGAUACAGGUAAUCAAACUAACAUUAAUUCUUCUACCUAAAAGAUUCCAAAAUAUUUAAAUCAUUUGAAAAAAAACACCAACUACAACAAUCAUUAGCCACAUCAGGCUUAAUAAUUUCCAGCAGAUGAAGGCACGAAGAAACAUCCGUUUGUUAGAAUUUUGUUUUUGUAUCGUUUAAAAGCAAAAUUCUAAACAUUAACUUUGACUUUGAAUAAGUAACUUUUCAUUUUGGUAAUGAAACUGAUUGCUACUUGAGCAAAACUUGUUGCACAUAACACAUUCUUGUCGAUUUAACCUUAAUUAAUUAAAAAAAAAUUAUUUAAAAGCAUAAAGUUGAGCUUAACUUCUUGUUGAAUUCGGUCUUGAUUAAUUUAAAAUUCAUUUUGCUAAAGUAGCUUUCUUUUUUCGAUUUUGUACAUUUUAAAUACUUAAAAUUCAAAGUGAUAGAUCUGUCUUUGUAUAGCUUUUUUGAUUUUCAUUAAUUUUGAGAUGGAAAAUCAAACUUAAAUUAAAUCUCCUACCCAGCAGAAAAUUACAAAAAUUUAACAAUCAUCGGUUAGACAUCUGAAAAACUACCAGCUACUACAAUCAUCAGCCAGAAAAACAAAUUAUUUUUAAAACAGAUAAAAAUAGUAAGUAACACCCUUCUAAAAGAUACGAAAAUAAACUUCGUACUACUCGAACUAGCCAAAACUGAUUUAAUAAAAAGAAGUAGCAUCCGCUUGUUAGAAUUUUGUUUUUAAAGCAAAAUUCUAAACAUUAACUUUGACUUAAAAUAGUUAACUUUUUAUUUUGAUAAUGAAACUGAUUGCUACUUGAGCAAAACUUGUAACACAUAACACAUUAAUCUUAAUUUUAAUAAAAAAUAAUCAUUUAAAAGCAUAUA